rnacentral:rRNA from 1 species
UACGUAGGGGGCAAGCGUUGUCCGGAUUUAUUGGGCGUAAAGAGCUCGUAGGCGGCUUGUCGCGUCGACUGUGAAAACCCGUGGCUCAACCAUGUGGUCUGCGAGUCGAUACGGGCAGGCUAGAAUUCGGUAGGGGAGACUGGAAUUCCUGGUGUAGCGGUGAAAUGCGCAGAUAUCAGGAGGAACACCGGUGGCGAAGGCGGGUCUCUGGGCCGAUAUUGACGCUGAGGAGCGAAAGCGUGGGGAGCGAACAGG